rnacentral:rRNA from 1 species
UACGUAGGGUGCAAGCGUUAAUCGGAAUUACUGGGCGUAAAGCGUGCGCAGGCGGUUUUGUAAGUCAGAUGUGAAAUCCCCCGGGCUUAACCUGGGAACUGCGUUUGAAACUACAAGGCUAGAGUGUGGCAGAGGGGGGGUGGAAUUCCACGUGUAGCAGUGAAAUACGUAGAGAUGUGGAGGAACACCGAUGGCGAAGGCAGCCCCCUGGGUUAACACUGACGCUCAGGCACGAAAGCGUGGGGAGCAAACAGG